rnacentral:misc_RNA from 1 species
GAUGAAGAACGCAGCGAAAUGCGAUAACUAAUGUGAAUUGCAGAAUUCAGUGAAUCAUCGAGUCUUUGAACGCACAUUGCGCCCCCUGGUAUUCCGGGGAGCAUGCCUGUCCGAGCGUCAUUGCUGCCCUCAAGCACGGCUUGUGUGUUGGGCUCCGUCCCCCCGGGGACGGGCCCGAAAGGCAGCGGCGGCACCGAGUCCGGUCCUCGAGCGUAUGGGGCUUUGUCACCCGCUCUGUAGGCCCGGCCGGCGCCAGCCGACAACCCAUCAUCCUUUUCAGGUUGACCUCGGAUCAGGUAGGGAUACCCGCUGAACUUAAGCAUAUCAAUAAGCGGAGGA